rnacentral:rRNA from 1 species
GCACGCUUAGGCGUGUGACUGCGUACCUUUUGUAUAAUGGGUCAGCGACUUAUAUUCUGUAGCAAGGUUAACCGAAUAGGGGAGCCGAAGGGAAACCGAGUCUUAACUGGGCGUUAAGUUGCAGGGUAUAGACCCGAAACCCGGUGAUCUAGCCAUGGGCAGGUUGAAGGUUGGGUAACACUAACUGGAGGACCGAACCGACUAAUGUUGAAAAAUUAGCGGAUGACUUGUGGCUGGGGGUGAAAGGCCAAUCAAACCGGGAGAUAGCUGGUUCUCCCCGAAAGCUAUUUAGGUAGCGCCUCGUGAAUUCAUCUCCGGGGGUAGAGCACUGUUUCGGCAAGGGGGUCAUCCCGACUUACCAACCCGAUGCAAACUGCGAAUACCGGAGAAUGUUAUCACGGGAGACACACGGCGGGUGCUAACGUCCGUCGUGAAGAGGGAAACAACCCAGACCGCCAGCUAAGGUCCCAAAGUCAUGGUUAAGUGGGAAACGAUGUGGGAAGGCCCAGACAGCCAGGAUGUUGGCUUAGAAGCAGCCAUCAUUUAAAGAAAGCGUAAUAGCUCACUGGUCGAGUCGGCCUGCGCGGAAGAUGUAACGGGGCUAAACCAUGCACCGAAGCUGCGGCAGCGACGCUUAUGCGUUGUUGGGUAGGGGAGCGUUCUGUAAGCCUGUGAAGGUGUGCUGUGAGGCAUGCUGGAGGUAUCAGAAGUGCGAAUGCUGACAUAAGUAACGAUAAAGCGGGUGAAAAGCCCGCUCGCCGGAAGACCAAGGGUUCCUGUCCAACGUUAAUCGGGGCAGGGUGAGUCGACCCCUAAGGCGAGGCCGAAAGGCGUAGUCGAUGGGAAACAGGUUAAUAUUCCUGUACUUGGUGUUACUGCGAAGGGGGGACGGAGAAGGCUAUGUUGGCCGGGCGACGGUUGUCCCGGUUUAAGCGUGUAGGCUGGUUUUCCAGGCAAAUCCGGAAAAUCAAGGCUGAGGCGUGAUGACGAGGCACUACGGUGCUGAAGCAACAAAUGCCCUGCUUCCAGGAAAAGCCUCUAAGCAUCAGGUAACAUCAAAUCGUACCCCAAACCGACACAGGUGGUCAGGUAGAGAAUACCAAGGCGCUUGAGAGAACUCGGGUGAAGGAACUAGGCAAAAUGGUGCCGUAACUUCGGGAGAAGGCACGCUGAUAUGUAGGUGAAGUCCCUCGCGGAUGGAGCUGAAAUCAGUCGAAGAUACCAGCUGGCUGCAACUGUUUAUUAAAAACACAGCACUGUGCAAACACGAAAGUGGACGUAUACGGUGUGACGCCUGCCCGGUGCCGGAAGGUUAAUUGAUGGGGUUAGCCGCAA